rnacentral:lncRNA from 1 species
CCCUGCCAAAGCCAUAAACUAUCUCAGCGGAUAGACUAAAUACAGCUCUUUACAAAGGACAUGAAUCUCCCUAUUGGAUGUCUCGGCUCUAAGAGGGAGGGACGGAGGCUUAGCUGGUGCAACUCCACAUAGCUCCAGGGCAGCCAGGGAAGGCGCCCAAUUCCCACCAGCUGAUGAACUGGCCCCCAGGAGAAAGCCCAGGGUAGGAGACGAAAGGCUGUGGAUUCCUCCUAUAUAGACACCUGAUCUGCGGAAGGGAGGAGAGGCUGAACCGGAGCUUACGCUCUGAGCCUAGAGACUGACCCCUGUCAUCAGUGGCAUUGCCUCCCUCGAGGAAAUACUUGACUUGGAAAAGCAGAAAGAAGAGAGAGCUGCAGACAAAACACCUAUUGUUAGUGAGAGCAGCCUGUUGAGACGUUGUGGCAGAAAAUGCUUACAAAGCAGAUAUUGAUCCAUCUCACAGGUGAAAGGUAUAAUUAGGCAUGCAGUCAAGGCCUGCAAGAUCCAAGACAAGAUCUUCUGAUGAAGGAAGGCCCUUGAUACGUCAAAGGGUGCAGGAAGCACAUGUAUGAAAUCAAUAGAGUGCAUCAGAGCUGAUAAUAAUGACAGAAGAUUGAUUAUACUGCAAAUGAUAGAACGAUUCCCUGGGAAGUUCCAGCAAUAAAGUCUCUGUCUUCCGGAGAUGACCUUCUGACUAUCUCAAAUAAGAAAAGAUUUAUGACAAGAAAUUUCUUGGGCUUGGUCUUGAGUGGAAGGUCUGGGAAAGUGCUACAGAAAAUAAGCAGUCUGAAUCUUCAGCUUGCGAAAACAAAGAAGAUAUUCAUCCCUGCCGGCGGUUCCCCCAACACGUCCCAGCUGCGUGUCCCCGGCCAUUGGGCACCACACCUGGGCCCCCACCACAGCUGCUCCCCCCAGCAGUGCCUGGGAAAGGCACCACGAGCCCUCUCUGAGGUCGGCACAGAAAUGACGCAGCUCAAAACUCUGCGUGCUGGGCAGCCGUGGAGAAAGCUGAUUCACACUGGGGCUGGGGCUGUCACAGGUCCUCAAGGAAGGCGCCAUCUCACAGGGCUGCAGUCAUCUCUGGGGCCUGGCACAGCAGAAGCUGCAGCUCAUUUUGAGGCGUGAAUAUUUCUGUAAUAAUAGUAAUAAUCCAGUUUGCCCCAAAUUUGCAGUUUCUGCUCAAACCAAAGUUCAUGGGAAACUUUUCUGGGAAAGAGGUCAAUCAUAUGUUUAAAGGAGGGGGGGAAAAAAACUUGCUGUGUGAGUUCACCUGCUUGCGAAGGACGUGAAAGAGUCAAAAGUGAAUGCACUGUACCGCUCAGCAUGCUGUGCUGAGGCAGAGCAGACAUGGUGGUGUCUCCAAGGAGUGCCAAGUUACCCAAUGUCUGCCUUCUGAGCUAGCAAGCAAUCCUCCUCCGGCUUUCUGUGGCUUUCUUUGGAGAGUUUUGGAGAAUUUUGUGCAUGAAGAAUGUCGAGAGCAAUAAAACAAACUCCUCUACUCUGCA